rnacentral:rRNA from 1 species
UGGGGAAUAUUGGACAAUGGGCGCAAGCCUGAUCCAGCCAUGCCGCGUGAGUGACGAAGGCCUUAGGGUUGUAAAGCUCUUUUGGCGGGGAAGAUAAUGACGGUACCCGUAGAAUAAGCUCCGGCUAACUUCGUGCCAGCAGCCGCGGUAAUACGAAGGGAGCUAGCGUUGUUCGGAAUCACUGGGCGUAAAGCGCACGUAGGCGGACUUUCAAGUCAGGGGUGAAAUCCCGGGGCUCAACCUCGGAACUGCCUUUGAUACUGUUGGUCUCGAGUCCGGAAGAGGUGAGUGGAAUUCCUAGUGUAGAGGUGAAAUCCGUAGAUAUAGGAAGAACACCGGUGGCGAAGGCGGCUCACUGGUCCGGUACUGACGCUGAGGUGCGAAAGCGUGGGGAGCAAACA